UCAGUCGACUCCUACGGGGAGGCAGCAGUGGGGGAAUAGUUGCACAAUGGGCGCAAGCCUGAUGCAGCCAUGCCGCGUGUAUGAAGAAGGACCUUCGGGUUGUAAAGUACUUUCAGCAGUGAGGAAGGUGGGGUAUGUUAAUAGCAUACUCAUUUGACGUUAGCUGCAGAAGAAGCACCGGCUAACUCCGUGCCAGCAGCCGCGGUAAUACGGAGGGUGCGAGCGUUAAUCGGAAUUACUGGGCGUAAAGCGCAUGCAGGUGGUUUGUUAAGUCAGAUGUGAAAGACCCGGGGCUCAACCUCGGAAUUGCAUUUGAAACUGGCAAACUAGAGUACUGUAGAGGGGGGUAGGAAUUUCAGGUGUAGCGGUGAAAUGCGUAGAGAUCUGAAGGAAUACCGGUGGCGAAGGCGGCCCCCUCGGACAGAUACUGACACUCAGAUGCGAAAGCGUGGGGAGCAAACAGGAUUAGAUACCCUGGUAG
rnacentral:rRNA from 1 species